UUUCAGUUAAGAAAAGUCGUCGAAAGUGAGUAGUUUAAUUCAGGCAAAAUACAUAACAUAACAUUUUAGCCAUGACGUGUUGGAUAUCUUUGCUCCUCGCUGCAAUUGUUUCGAUUCAGUGCAUCAGUGCGCAAUCAGCGAAACUCUAUGUGGGUAAUUUAUCCUGGACCACUACUGACGACACUCUCAGAGAGGCUUUUGGAGUUUAUGGGCUAGUAAUCGAAGCUAUUGUUAUGCGGGACAGAGAUACCGAACGUAGCCGAGGCUUCGGUUUUGUUACAAUGGCUACAGAGGACGAAGCGAAUGCAGCAGUUGAAGCACUAAACGAACAAGAAUUAGACGG